GGAGGUCAUAAGAGGUGGUGAGCAUGCCCAUGACAGAGCUGUGUGCUCCGUGUGUGACUGGCAGUGUGUUUGGAGGAGGCAUAUGCAUCAGAGUGAAUUCGGCACAAAUGAAGAGGCAGCAAUAAGGUGAAUAAUGCUGCCUGGUAUCCUGCUUGCUCCCAGUGCCCAAAUCGGUCCAAGGCUGCGUGCGAGUUGUUCAACAAAACAAAAAUUUUCUGCUGACUAAUGAGUCUCUGACUUCCUCCAGUCUACCAAACGUUCUAGUUUGAGAAUUCUGGAACCAUUCAAACCCACCAUAAGCAGUGCGUCGGGUGCCUGGCAUGCCUGGGAGCUGCUGCCGGGGCACCUGCACUGCAACACUGAUGUUCCUGGAGUUUGCCUCCCAGCUCUGAUCACCAAUACCUAGUACUGUGACCUUCAGGGCACGCAGCGCCGUUCUCUGGGUUUUCUGCAGAAGUAGGGCUUGAGUAGUUUUGCAAAAGGACAGUCAGGUCUGGGAAGUCUCCCUCAGCCCCUCCUUCUCUGGAUAAAAAUAAGACAUUAUUAUUUUAGUGUAAGUGCACACGCACUGGUUUAUAGCCAAAUAACCAAACGUGCCAGGUCUGACUGAUUCACCAUCUCACUGCCCAUCGUUGAG